rnacentral:rRNA from 1 species
AACGAACGCUGGCGGCACGUUUUAAGCAUGCAAGUCGAAUGGCAGCAGGGGCAACUCUGUGAGAAUGGCGAACGGGUGAGUAACACGUAGGUGAUCUGCCUUGAGGAUGGGGAUAGCCUGUGGAAACACAGGGUAAUACCGAAUGAGCUGACGAGACUUUGGUUUUGUUAGUAAAGGUGCUACGGCACCGCCUUGAGAGGAGCCUGCGGCUGAUUAGCUAGUUGGUGGGGUAAGAGCUUACCAAGGCGACGAUCAGUAGCCGGCCUGAGAGGGUGUACGGCCACACUGGAACUGAGACACGGUCCAGACUCCUACGGGAGGCAGCAGCUAAGAAUCUUCCGCAAUGGGCGAAAGCCUGACGGAGCGAUGCCGCGUGAUCGAUGAAGGUCGAGAGAUUGUAAAGAUCUUUUCUACAUGAGGAAUAAGUCUGGGAGGAAUGCCCGGAUGAUGACGUUAGUGUAGGAAUAAGCACCGGCUAACUACGUGCCAGCCGCCGCCGUAA